rnacentral:rRNA from 1 species
AUUGAACGCUGGCGGCAGGCCUAACACAUGCAAGUCGAACGAGUGGCGGACGGGUGAGUAAUGUCUGGGAAACUGCCUGAUGGAGGGGGAUAACUACUGGAAACGGUAGCUAAUACCGCAUACCAUCAGAUGUGCCCAGAUGGGAUUCGCUAGUUGGUGGGGUAACGGCUCACCAAGGCGGCGAUCCCUAGCUGGUCUGAGAGGAUGACAGGCCACACUGGAACUGAGACAGGCGCCCGACUCCUACGGGGGGAAGCAGUGGGGAAUAUUGCGGAAUGGGCACAAGCCUGGUGCGCCCAUGCCGCGUGAAUGAGGAGGGCCUUCGGGUUGUGAAGUACGUUCAGCGGGGAGGCGUUACCCGGAGAAGAAGCACCGGCUAACUCCGUGCCAGCAGCCGCGGUAAUAC